AUGGCUGCGCUUUUUCCUGCCGGUUCCUCCAUUAAGACAUCGCCUUCCAGCCACGCUGCAAGAUCCCAACGAGGUUUCUGUGUCCAAGAUUCUGGCACAGUCACCUCCUUCUGGUCCAAAACCCGCUGUCCUUCCUAUACAAUGACCCGAACUGCCAACCACCACAUGCUAGCCCACCUAGCCAGGUCGGCUGAUCAUACGAUCAAACAUGGCAACUCCACCAUCAACUUCAGCCUACUGAACAUUCGCUCUCUUACGGGAAAAGGGCAUCUCGUCCAUGAUCUCCUUUCUGACCAUAAACUUGACUUUCUCUGCUUGAAUGAAACUUGGCAACACCCUAAUAAUGACUUUAUUUCACUCAAUAACUCCACUCCGCCCGAGUUAGUUUACGUCUGUAAACCUCGGGAGUCAGGGAGGGGUGGAAGUCUCGCGAUAAUUCACCGGGAGCAGUGGAAAGUCUCUCCAGUCUCUGCUCCAUCCUUCCACUCAUUUGAAUACAGCGCAUUACAACUCCCUGGAUCCACUCCUACCAUCAUAUGUACUGUCUACCGCCCACCAAAGCCGAAUGAGGACAUCUUAAAUGACUUUACUGCUCUCCUCACUGACCUUUGCAUACUCUCUCCCAGUCUGAUAAUCACUGGUGAUUUUAACAUUCACAUGGAUGAAAACAAUCUUCUUACCAGAGACUUUACUUCCUGUUUAGAUAGUUUUGGACUCAAACAGCAUAUCAGCUUCCCCACUCACUCCAAAGGCCAUAUUCUGGAUCUGGUCUGCUGUUCGGGUAUUACCCCAGCCCAAUGCAUAGCCAGUUCUUUUCCUCUUUCAGAUCAUAAGCUAAUCACGUUUAAUGUAACUAUAAAGGCCUCUAAAACCCUUAUUGCUCGCAUUAUUGCUUUUAGAAAAAUCAACAAUAGAAAUCUUGAUGCAUUCUCCACUGCAAUAUCUGAUCUACAGCCUGCUCACAUUACCUCAUCUCCUGAGGAUCUUGUUUUUAACUAUAAUUUUAAUCUAAAUAACAUUCUCAAUACUUUUGCCCCAAUUAGGCAAAGAUCUGUCUCAUUUAACUGCUCAGCACCUUGGUUUAACUACGACCUUCACUGUCUUAAAUCCGAAGGACACAGAUUGGAACGUUUGUCUAAGAAAACCGGCCUCACUAUCCAUAAAGAUCUAUAUAAGAAUCACUUAUUGCAUUAUAAAGACUCCAUUCACACAGCUAAAUCGGUUUACUAUUCUAAUUUAAUCAGCUCGAGUGAAGGUAACUCCAAGACCCUUUUUUCUCUGUUCUCUAAAAUUACAAAGCCUCCUGAUUUUUUGCUUAACAGUAUGGUGUCCUCUGACUAUUGCAACUCCCUCAUGUCCUUCUUCACGUCCAAAAUCUCAAAUAUUCACCAACAACUCCAUGCUACUAGAGAUCCUGUUUCAGAAGUUGAACCCAUCCUGACAACUCCAAGUCAUUUAUUUUCAAGUUUCAGUCUCCCCUCUUUAACUGAGAUGUCAUAUUUAAUCAGGGAAUCCAAAUCAUCCACCUGUCAGCUUGACCCUCUCCCCACAGUGCUACUUAAAGUAUGUCUUCCAUCAUUGGCUCCUCUCAUAUCCUCCAUCAUUUCCUCUUCCCUCAUUACCGGAGUUGUUCCUGCAGCAUUAAAAACUGCCUGUAUCACUCCGAUUCUCAGAAAGUCCGGUGCGGAUCCCACCAACUUUGAUAAUCUUCGUCCAAUAUCUAAAUUACCAUUUAUUUCCAAAAUCCUUGAAAAAGUUGUUGCUUCUCAGCUUCACUCAUAUCUCAAUUCUCAUAACUAUAUGAACAAUUCCAACCUGGUUUCAGACCACAACACAGCACAGAGACAGCACUAG
ensembl:lncRNA